rnacentral:misc_RNA from 1 species
GAUGAAGAACGUAGCGAAAUGCGAUAAGUAAUGCGAAUUGCAGAAUUCCGUGAGUCAUCGAAUCUUUGAACGCACAUUGUGCCCUUUGGCAUUCCGAAGGGCAUGCCUGUUCGAGCGUCAUUUAUCAACCCUCAAGCCCGGCUUGCGGUUGGGUCCCGCCGUGGGCGACCACGGCGGACCUGAAAGGUAAUGGCGGUGCCCGUGGGGCCCUGGACGCAGCGAGCUUCUCGGCACGCGUCCCGGCGGUCCCCGGCGGCGUCUCCACCAACCCACCACGCAGAUUGACCUCGGAUCAGGUAGGGAUACCCGCUGAACUUAAGCAUAUCAAUAAGCGGAGGA